UACGGGGGGAGCAAGCGUUGUUCGGAUUUACUGGGCGUAAAGGGCGCGUAGGCGGCCACCGCAAGUCGGUUGUGAAAUCUCUGGGCUUAACCCAGAAAGGUCAAUCGAUACUGCGGGGCUAGAAUGCAGAAGGGGCAACUGGAAUUCUCGGUGUAGCGGUGAAAUGCGUAGAUAUCAGGAGGAACACCGAUGGCGAAGGCAGGUCUCUGGGCCACUACUGACGCUGAGAAGCGAAAGCAUGGGGAGCGAACAG
rnacentral:rRNA from 1 species